rnacentral:rRNA from 1 species
CCUACGGGUGGCAGCAGUGGGGGAUAUUGGACAAUGGGGGAAACCCUGAUCCAGCGACGCCGCGUGAGUGAAGAAGUAUUUCGGUAUGUAAAGCUCUAUCAGCAGGGAAGCAAGAAAUGACGGUACCUGGGUAAGAAGCCUCGGCUAAAUACGUGCCAUCAGCCGCGGUAAUUCGUAGGGGGCAAGCGUUAUGCGGAAGUACUGGGUGUAAAGGGAGCGUAGACGGGAAUGCAAGUCUGGAGUGAAAGGCGGGGGGCAACCCCCCGGACUGCUGUGGAAACUGUGUAACUGGAGUGCAGGAGAGGCAGGCGGAAUGCCUGGUGUAGCGGUGAAAUGCAUAGAUAUUAGGAGGAACACCAGUGGCGAAGGCGGCCUACUGGACUGUAACUGACGUUGAGGCUCGAAAGCGUGGGGAGCAAACAGGAUUAGAUACCCUAGUAGUC